ACGUCUGGGUGGUAUGACCGCAUGACGUGCGGCCUGUUAAAAAAAUACGAUCAUAGCAACCGUUAAAUAUUCUGUUCUAUGAAAAUAUCUGUCACUAAUCAACUGUUUUUUUAUUGAGUUGGCUUUUUCCUGCUUAUAAAAAGAAAUUUGCUGUUCACCCGAAGCUAAAAUGUUAUACCCUGAAGAUGAUUUGAUUACAUAUGACGCAUUGAACUCUGCAUCCGAUUCAUCGGAAGACGAGUCGAGCUACGAGGAUCUACUGGAUCGAUGUGAUGGGGCCGAUUCUGCUUCGUACCUCGUAAACGAAUUUUUCGCGCGUGAUCAGUCGGGGAAUAGAGAAGAGACGAACAACGCAAGCGAACCACGUGCUUCCGGCUUUAAACCAAGAUCGGUUUCCAAGAGAAAGAAAGGGUUGUCUACAUUGAACGAGCCGUCAGGAAGCAAGAGGCAAAAAGAAAAGCCGUUUAAAGGCGAAUAUAUUCGAAAAUCAAACUUCAUUUCAACAAUUAUUUCA